CAGAUGCCUUCACUGGUGAAUACCAGAUGAAUGUAAAAUUAGUGUGGCUUAAAGAUGAGGGAGAAUAUUUCAUAUGGUAAAGGGGCUUAUAUUGUAUCCUAAGGAAUGGGUAGGCAUUGGUCACAGAUGAGAUGAGUAGAGUCAUUACUUGCAAGUAAGGAACAGAAUGAAAUGGACACAGCAGGGAGGAUAGAGAUAAUGACAACUUUGUUCAGUGUAAUGGUUUAUGUUGUACAGGAAAUUGAUAAUGGAUAUGUAGGUUAGGGCCAAACAAAUGAAGUUCUUAAAUGGUGAUGUGAAGAGUUGGGACAUUAUCCUAGAUGGGAUCAAUUAGAAGAUUGUGGGCAAGGCUAUGAUAUUACAAAAGGAGAUUUUUAGAAGAUACAUUUAAUUGUAUUCAUGAUGAAUUGAAAACAUAGGAGAACAUAAUAGAUGACUGGUUAGGAGGUUUUGAUGGUGAUUCAGGCAAGAUUAUCAUAGGAAAAGGAUGAUUACACUGAGAUUGAAAGAAAACAAUUAUAUGGACAUGAAACUUAGUGGCCAAUAACUUAUAAAAGGUGAAUUAGAGUUGAAAAACUAUUAGAUGAUUCCAAGGUUUAUAAGAUGAAAAACUAGAAGGACAGUGGAAACACUAUCAAAAAUGGAGGGACUAGGGCAAAAAAACAGAUUUGGGGCAUGAACAAUGAAUGCAACUGGACAUUCAGAGUUUGAGAUCCUAGGAGCAUAUCGGGGUGGAAAUUUCCUAUAGGGCAAAUAUCCAGGACAGGAUUUAGAGAGAAAAUCCAGGUUAGGGGAUAUAGAUUUGAAAAUCAUUGCUUGACCACUUCUAGUAGUCUCCCAAAGGGUUUCAGAGAGCUCUAGAUAAGUGACGUAAAUAGUACUUUAAAUCAUUAUUUAAUGGGGGAACUCUUCACCUUUCCUCUUGCAUUUGUGUAUUCCAGCCAGAAUGAAGAAACAGAGAUGUGCUAUGAGAUACAGAGGAGUGCUCCCAUAGAGUACCACCCCACAAUAUUCCUAGAAAAGAUCUGGAAGAGCCAUGAAAAACCAAUCAGGGUGAUAAGCAUUCAGUGGUCAUUCCUGCAGGCAGCCUUUCCUAAACAGCAAUGGAUGGCUGAGUCCAAUUCAAGUCAGCCCCUUAAACCUUACCUGCUUUGAUAGGAGUUUUGGUUAACGAUAACAAGAGGAAGGGAUUAGAGUGGAAGAUAAAGAAAGCUGUUGGCCUAGUGCUCUCUGUAAUUCUGUACUCAGAAUAAAUGAGAAACAUAUUGGAAAAUAUUCUGAAAGUGAAGUUUCAAAAUUUCUACAGUAAAUAUUCACUUGCAAUUGAGCAUUUUGGGCGAACAUGGCUAUGAGUCUGAAUGGUGCGAAAGCUUAGAUAAUAAAGCCAAUAUGGUAAAUUCUAGAAAGAAGGUUCCUGUGUGGAAGUGCAAGAGAAAAUUUAUUAGGAAUAUAUUAGAAGAAAAGCCAGCAAAAUGUUUUUAAGAUCAGCUCAAUAGGUGAUCCUGAAUGAUAUUUCUUUUAGUUACUAGGGGUACAGGAUCUUCAGAAAAUGAUAUAAGUCAAAUCAAUGGUGGUGCUCCUUUUAAGGCUUCUAGAAAAUAGUACCCCUUUUAUUUAACCAGAUAAUAAGAGUUUUAUUGUUUAUUUUCUACCAAUAAUAACUUAUUUUCUCAUCUAAACAUCUCGAUUGAACUCCUUCAUACACAUUCUUACUUUAGAUCUGACUUUCUGACUUUUGACCAUUCAUUCCAAAAUUGGUGUUCCAACGGCUGCCUACUUCUGCCAGUAUCAAAACACAAAAUCAACAUGAUAAAAAAUAAUUAUGUGAUUCAAGAGGCUGUAGUGUCACUCAACCUCAUUUGCUACACCAAAUCUGGAGAACACCUGAGUUAAGUGGCCCAGGGGAGUGUCCUCAGAUGGGGGGAAUAAGGGAGAGAAGAUGGUAGCCAUUUUUACAUUGUUUUGCAUGGUAUUUAUUGAUCCAGGAAACAAACACAAAAUUCUGAAUAAAAUGACUUGGAAA